UACGAAGGGGGCUAGCGUUGCUCGGAAUCACUGGGCGUAAAGCGCACGUAGGCGGGUUGUUAAGUCGGGGGUGAAAUCCUGGAGCUCAACUCCAGAACUGCCUUCGAUACUGGCGACCUUGAGUCCGGGAGAGGUGAGUGGAACUCCGAGUGUAGAGGUGAAAUUCGUAGAUAUUCGGAAGAACACCAAUGGCGAAGGCGGCUCACUGGCCCGGUACUGACGCUGAGGUGCGAAAGCGUGGGGAGCAAACGGG
rnacentral:rRNA from 1 species